rnacentral:rRNA from 1 species
CGGGAAACUGGGGAUAAUACCCCAUAGACCAGGGAUGCUGGAAUGCCUCCUGGUUCAAAGGUCCGCCGCCUGAGGAUGGGUCUGCGGCCGAUUAGGUUGUUGUUGGGGUAACGGCCCAACAAGCCUUUGAUCGGUACGGGUUGUGAGAGCAAGAGCCCGGAGAUGGAUUCUGAGACACGAAUCCAGGCCCUACGGGGCGCAGCAGGCGCGAAAACUUUACAAUGCGAGAAAUUGUGAUAAGGGAACCCCGAGUGCCCGUAAAGUCGGGCUGUCCGCCAGUGCAAAUAGCUGGUGAAGAAAGGGCCGGGCAAGACCGGUGCCAGCCGCCGCGUAAUA